UCUCAGUUGACGAAAGUCUGCUGCUUGGUAAAUCAUAAUUAAUAUUCAGAAUCACCGGUAUAUAGAGGCAGAGUGGGCGUUUCCUCUCUCCCCCUCCCCCUUCAUACUUCAUCUCUCUGCGUCCUGAUAGUUUGAUGUUAGAAGCAAUGACGAACUCGCCAACCCUCUUGGAAAGGUCAAAGUCGUUUUUAUGUCAUCUUACAUUGAAAUAAAUUAUUGUACAAAUUUA